UGUUAUGUUCUCCUAGGGAACGAGAUACGGGGCAUGCAAGAACCCAUAGAAAAAUCAUUAAGCCAGAGUCAAAGAAUGUGUACUGUAAAGAUCAGCAUCCUAGGAAAGAUGUACACAAAACAGCACAAUGAAGUAAAGAAAAGCUGUGUGCUCAGGUGAAUGUUCAGGAUGUGAAUUGACUUUUUUAUUAUUAUUAAGCAGAUGGAGAUAAAGAAUGUGUGCCAUAAUUACUAUUCCUUAUCAAUAACCUUGCUGUUGAUAUUUAAUCCCACCCAAACUGCCCAGAACUGGAGCUUAUCAGUUUUCUGCUGCUGGCAUGAGAGGCAUUAAUCAGAAUAGGGAAACAUACCUGAAACUGUUGUCAAAAUUGUGAGAAGUGUAGGGCUGUGACAUUCAGUCCAUGGUUAUUUAUCUUUAUGCUUCUAAAUAAAGGCACUUUUUCUGAUCCAGGAUUUUGCUCCAUUCAGCUCCUUUCAAGGAGUGGCAAAAAUAUUCCCCUGAGAACAACAUGCUGCACCACGAGGCUCUUUUGGAAUAUUUUGAGCACUCCAAAUUCCAUAGACCACACAUUUUCUUGACAAAAAUUGAAUUGUUUUUUUUUUCUGGAAACCUCCUUGAAUGCUAAUUCCUCUUUUAGAAAAUGUUUCACCAUUUAACAUUUUAAAAGUCCUUAGAAGAGAUUGCCUGACAGUCAUCUCUCUCUCUCUCUCUCUCUCUCUCUCUCUCACACACACACACACACACACACACACACACACACACUUUCUUUCAUACAGUGCAGCCCCCACAUUUGCUCAUCUGUAUUAGCAGCAGCAUUUUUCUUAUCCCUCAUGAGAUACUAGGAUUUGAGUCUAGGACUUUCUGAAUGUGUUCUGCUACAGUGUUACUGAUUUCCUUUUUCUGCAGCUAUCUCUUUAACUGCCAUCAGCCAAAACUAUAUCUGCAACCAGUAAAAUGUGGAAUCCUUUGCAACAAUGGAAUUUGCAGUAAAAUAAGAGGGAGUGGAGAUGUGCUUCCUCACUACCUUUCACCCAACUAUUUUAAUGUAAUGGCAAAAGUAUGGUUAGAACAAAAUUUAGAAAAGUUAUUUUAAAGUGCCUGCUUCCACAGUCUUCACCAGAAAGGUUAUUUGUAAAUAGUACUUCAAAAUGGAAAUUUCCAUAUAAGUUGGCUUAAAAGGUUUGAAAUCCUGCACCCCGAAACAUUUCAGGAAACAGGAAAGCUGUUGUGCUGAGUACAGAUGCACUUUCCUCCAGAAUGAGGAAAAAAUAAUUGUUGAAAUUGUCCAACUUAGACAAA
rnacentral:lncRNA from 1 species